rnacentral:misc_RNA from 1 species
GAUGAAGAACGUAGCGAAAUGCGAUAAGUAAUGUGAAUUCCAGAAUUCAGUGAAUCAUCGAAUCUUUGAACGCACAUUGCGCCCCCUGGUAUUCCGGGGGGCAUGCCUGUUCGAGCGUCAUUUCACCACUCAAGCCUCGCUUGGUAUUGGGCAACGCGGUCCGCCGCGUGCCUCAAAUCGACCGGCUGGGUCUUCUGUCCCCUAAGCGUUGUGGAAACUAUUCGCUAAAGGGUGUUCGGGAGGCUACGCCGUAAAACAACCCCAUUUCUAAGGUUGACCUCGGAUCAGGUAGGGAUACCCGCUGAACUUAAGCAUAUCAAUAAGCGGAGGA